UACGGGGGGGGCAAGCGUUGUUCGGAAUUACUGGGCGUAAAGGGCUCGUAGGCGGCCAACUAAGUCCGACGUGAAAUCCCCAGGCUUAACCUGGGAACUGCGUCGGAUACUGGAUGGCUUGAAUCCGGGAGAGGGAUGCGGAAUUCCAGGUGUAGCGGUGAAAUGCGUAGAUAUCUGGAGGAACACCGGUGGCGAAGUCGGCAUCCUGGACCGGCAUUGACGCUGAGGAGCGAAAGCCAGGGGAGCAAACGGG
rnacentral:rRNA from 1 species